AAAAAUUUCAGCUUAACUGGAAUCGUGCCUUUGAUACUGUUGGACUAGAGUAUAAUUGACGUGACUGGAAUGUGAUGUGUAGCGGUGAAAUGCUUAGAUAUGUCGCAGAACGCCAAUCGUGAAGACAGGUCACGAAAUUAUUACUGACGCUCAUGCACGAAAGCGUGGGGAUCAAACAGGAUUAGAUACCCUGGUAGUCCACGCUGUAAACGAUGAUUACUCGUUGUUGGGCAGUGAUGCUCAGUGGCUAAGCGAAAGCGAUAAGUAAUCCACCUGGGGAGUACGAUCGCAAGGUUGAAACUCAAAGGAAUUGACGGGGGCCCGCACAAGCGGAGGAGCAUGUGGUUUAAUUCGAUGAUACGCGAGGAACCUUACCCGGGCUUGAACGUAAGACGAAUAUAUAAGAGAUUAUAUAGCCUUCGGGCGUCUUGCGAGGUGCUGCAUGGUUGUCGUCAGCUCGUGCCGUGAGGUGUUAGGUUAAGUCCUGCAACGAGCGCAACCCUUACACUUAGUUGCCAGCACGUAAUGGUGGGAACUCUAAGUGAACUGCCUACGCAAGUAGAGAGGAAGGUGGGGAUGACGUCAAUUCAGCACGGCCCUUAUGUCCGGGGCUACACACGUGCUACAAUGGUAUGUACAGAGGGCAGCCACCUGGCGACAGGGAGCUAAUCCUCAAAGCAUAUCUCAGUUCGGAUUGGAGUCUGUAACUCGACUCUAUG
rnacentral:rRNA from 1 species